rnacentral:lncRNA from 1 species
UUAACUACUUAAAGUUAAAUCUUCGAAGACCCGCCCGAAAGUUGUCUGGCCUGUAGACCCACCUGUAGACUGUCUGGCCGGUGCCGAGCCUAAUGGCCCCGUGGUAGUCAACAUCCUCACUCUAGGAAUGAGCCUUGCCCACGACAAUCCACUUCGGCGCCCAAUCCCGCAUGGCGAAUAUGUAUCGCGAUGGCCAUCUCUGGAGUUCCGGCUUGUAGGGAGCGACCCUCACAAGCGUGUGCGAAUGAGCACAAUGGCAAGCAAGCGUAAGAUCCGUCUCAAGUCUCAAGUCAUCAUGUCUAA